rnacentral:rRNA from 13 species
GCUUACGGCCACACCGGCCUGAGUACGCCUGAUCUCGUCCGAUCUCGGACGCUAAGCAGGGUCGGGCCUGGUUAGUACUUGGAUGGGAGACCGCCUGGGAAUACCAGGUGCUGUAAGCU